rnacentral:rRNA from 1 species
GCAAUCUACCUUUUACAGAGGGAUAGCCCAGAGAAAUUUGGAUUAGUACCUCAUAGUGUAUUGAGUUGGCAUCAACAUAAUACUAAAGUCACAACGGUAAAAGAUGAGCAUGCGUCCCAUUAGCUAGUUGGUAAGGUAACGGCUUACCAAGGCAACGAUGGGUAGGGGUCCUGAGAGGGAGAUCC